rnacentral:rRNA from 1 species
UACGUAGGGUGCGAGCGUUGUCCGGAAUUACUGGGCGUAAAGAGCUCGUAGGUGGUUUGUCGCGUUGUUCGUGAAACUCACAACUCAAUUGUGGGCGUGCGGGCGAUACGGGCAGACUGGAGUACUGCAGGGGAGACUGGAAUUCCUGGUGUAGCGGUGGAAUGCGCAGAUAUCAGGAGGAACACCGGUGGCGAAGGCGGGUCUCUGGGCAGUAACUGACGCUGAGGAGCGAAAGCGUGGGGAGCGAACAGG